rnacentral:lncRNA from 1 species
UGAAGGGUAGUCAAUGGAGGGAGGAGGCGCCCCUACCUGGCGCGCCAUCUAUUGCGGGGACGGCGCUUUGGCCGGAGCCUCGCGCAACAGCAUAGCCCACAUUAAGCUAGCAGAGAAAGAGGACCACGUUCCUCCCGAGGUAUCGUCCGCUUUGGGCGCUCCGGCCCGCGCGUCCAGCGCUGACGGGGGGAGACUGGUGCCCUCACGGGUUUGCCCUUCAAAAGGCGCCUCGAGAGGAAAGGAUUUCCACCCCCCGUUUAAGGCAUGGAACCUUUCCGCUACUAGCCGAUGUGGGACUAAAUUCAAGGCCCCCUCCCCUCCCCAC